rnacentral:rRNA from 1 species
AAAUUGAAGAGUUUGAUCAUGGCUCAGAUUGAACGCUGGCGGCAGGCCUAACACAUGCAAGUCGAACGGUAACAGGAAGAAGCUUGCUUCUUUGCUGACGAGUGGCGGACGGGUGAGUAAUGUCUGGGAAACUGCCUGAUGGAGGGGGAUAACUACUGGAAACGGUAGCUAAUACCGCAUAAUGUCGCAAGACCAAAGAGGGGGACCUUCGGGCCUCUUGCCAUCGGAUGUGCCCAGAUGGGAUUAGCUUGUUGGUGGGGUAACGGCUCACCAAGGCGACGAUCCCUAGCUGGUCUGAGAGGAUGACCAGCCACACUGGAACUGAGACACGGUCCAGACUCCUACGGGAGGCAGCAGUGGGGAAUAUUGCACAAUGGGCGCAAGCCUGAUGCAGCCAUGCCGCGUGUAUGAAGAAGGCCUUCGGGUUGUAAAGUACUUUCAGCGGGGAGGAAGGGAGUAAAGUUAAUACCUUUGCUCAUUGACGUUACCCGCAGAAGAAGCACCGGCUAACUCCGUGCCAGCAGCCGCGGUAAUACGGAGGGUGCAAGCGUUAAUCGGAAUUACUGGGCGUAAAGCGCACGCAGGCGGUUUGUUAAGUCAGAUGUGAAAUCCCCGGGCUCAACCUGGGAACUGCAUCUGAUACUGGCAAGCUUGAGUCUCGUAGAGGGGGGUAGAAUUCCAGGUGUAGCGGUGAAAUGCGUAGAGAUCUGGAGGAAUACCGGUGGCGAAGGCGGCCCCCUGGACGAAGACUGACGCUCAGGUGCGAAAGCGUGGGGAGCAAACAGGAUUAGAUACCCUGGUAGUCCACGCCGUAAACGAUGUCGACUUGGAGGUUGUGCCCUUGAGGCGUGGCUUCCGGAGCUAACGCGUUAAGUCGACCGCCUGGGGAGUACGGCCGCAAGGUUAAAACUCAAAUGAAUUGACGGGGGCCCGCACAAGCGGUGGAGCAUGUGGUUUAAUUCGAUGCAACGCGAAGAACCUUACCUGGUCUUGACAUCCACGGAAGUUUUCAGAGAUGAGAAUGUGCCUUCGGGAACCGUGAGACAGGUGCUGCAUGGCUGUCGUCAGCUCGUGUUGUGAAAUGUUGGGUUAAGUCCCGCAACGAGCGCAACCCUUAUCCUUUGUUGCCAGCGGUCCGGCCGGGAACUCAAAGGAGACUGCCAGUGAUAAACUGGAGGAAGGUGGGGAUGACGUCAAGUCAUCAUGGCCCUUACGACCAGGGCUACACACGUGCUACAAUGGCGCAUACAAAGAGAAGCGACCUCGCGAGAGCAAGCGGAUCUCAUAAAGUGCGUCGUAGUCCGGAUUGGAGUCUGCAACUCGACUCCAUGAAGUCGGAAUCGCUAGUAAUCGUGGAUCAGAAUGCCACGGUGAAUACGUUCCCGGGCCUUGUACACACCGCCCGUCACACCAUGGGAGUGGGUUGCAAAAGAAGUAGGUAGCUUAACCUUCGGGAGGGCGCUUACCACUUUGUGAUUCAUGACUGGGGUGAAGUCGUAACAAGGUAACCGUAGGGGAACCUGCGGUUGGAUCACCUCCUUA